rnacentral:rRNA from 1 species
GGGCCCGCACAAGCGGUGGAGUAUGUGGUUUAAUUCGAUGCAACGCGAAGAACCUUACCAGGGUUUGACAUCCUGCGAAUCUCUUGGAAACGAGAGAGUGCCUUCGGGAACGCAGUGACAGGUGGUGCAUGGCUGUCGUCAGCUCGUGUCGUGAGAUGUUGGGUUAAGUCCCGCAACGAGCAGCAACCACGUCUUUAGUUGCCAGAUUUAGUUGGGCACUCUAGAGAGACUGCCGGUGAUAAACCGGAGAAGGUGUGGAUGACGUCAAGUCAUCAUGCCCCUUACAUCUGGGCUACACACGUACUACAAUGCUACGGACAAAGGGCAGCAAACUCGCGAGAGCUAGCAAAUCCCAUAAACGUGGCUC